rnacentral:lncRNA from 1 species
CGCUAUUUUCUUUUAUUUUUCCAGGACUAGCAAAUUCCAAGUUCAAUUGCAAUUGAGUUAAAGUCAUUCCAUUUGGUUUUUGUAAUGGGACUUUCCUAUACCUAGCAUCAUUAACCAACUGGUUGUACAUGGACCAAGGUUUAAAAACCGGCGGUUAACCGGCGGCCGGCUGACCGGUAAAAUACUACUAACCGGUGACCGGUUAGUUGGGACGGGUAAAUGGGUUGAUGGGUCGGGUCUAACCCGUACCCGACCCGGUCACCCGCCCCGUUUUAAAAAAAGGUCAUUAAUUAAAUGUUUAUUUUAAAGGCUUUAUUUAAUAAAGCCCAUUACGUUUCAUUUAAUAAAGCCUCAUUUGAAGGCUUUAUUUUAAUAAGUUUAAAUCUUAUAAGUCUCUCCUUAUAAGUCUUUGAAACCCUAGCCGUUUUAUAAGUCCUCUCCACUUUCUUUUCUUUUUCAGUUCUUCUCCUCCACAUUUCCUCCAUAUUUUUUUGACUCUCCACCAUUAGAAUUUUUUUCCUUCUUCUCCUUCACAUUUCUUUGAUUCUCCACCAUCAGAAUUUUUUCUUCUUCUUUUCCUCCACAUUUGUUUGACAUUUUCUUCACUUUCUACGAUCUGAAAUAUUAUCCUACUCCAUCGAUCAUUACUUAUUUGCAUUAUUAUUUUGAAUGACUAUUUUGAAUUACUAUAUUGUUUAUGAUAUUUUUAUUUAUAUAAACAAGGAUAUAAACAUGGAUAUAAACAUGGAAUAGAUAUAUAAGUGUAUAACAUAAUUUCUGUUUUUUAAAAAAAAAUUACGAAAAUACCCCUACCGGUUAACCACGUUAACCGGUAAGCCAGAACCGGUUACCGGUUAACCGGUUUUUAAACCUUGACAUGGACUGCCCUUCUUCUACCACAAGUAUCAAAUUUGAUUUCGAAUAGGUAUAGGGAGUAGAAGAUGUCACUGCUAAAUCACUCAAAAAAUUUACAGGAGAUUUCGGGACGAGGAUAGAUUGUGUUUGAUCAAGCACAUCCUUAUCAAAUUGGGCUAGAAGAUCAAAACUGGGGGGACAUAUAUGCUUGUCGGCAGGAGGUUGUACAACGUCUACAUGAUCAUUAAUGAUCAUAGGAUGUGAGGACGAAACACAUUCACUAAUUGACUUAAUGGUUUCCUUAAUAUGGGCAUUUCCAGAGCUCAAAGUUUAGAGAUUUGCUGACUUAUCCAUUCCUUGAGGAGGGGGAUUAGCAUAUGCUGUGGGAAAUUCGUCAGAUUCGAUAUCUAGAUUUCGGCAGGGUUCUACAAGCAUGUAUUCAUACAACUCCAAACCUUGAAGAAUAACUGGAUUUUCUAUUGUCGUGCAAUGUUCAUGGACAGAUGACUUCUCCUGACAGGCUAACUUCUCCUUCAUCUCAAUGCAAUUAAAUAAUUCAUUCAUGGGAUUAUCCGGUUCUGAAUCAAAUGUAGGCGUAGGUGACGGCGUACACAGAUCAACAACUGUUGGGACGUCCAACUGUAGGUCUAAAUUUCUCCCGUCAAUCGGUAUAGUGGUUUUGUUAAUAGCGCAUCAUUUUUGGCCUUCUAACAAAAAGAUAAUUUAGAGUUUUUGAUUUACCAUAUCAUAAAACUAUUUCUACGUACUUCACUAACCUGGGGAAGAUGGUUUUCGAAGAGCCUUAUCCUCUCCGCACUGAUUCUCUCAAAAAGGAAUUAUCAGAAUUUACAAUUUCAGGAACGAAAAAAUAAUUGAUUGAACUCAUACCUUUCUUAAUAUUGAUUGUUGCUUCCUAAUUCUUGUACAAUGAAUAAAUUCCAUG